AUGCAGUCGAGCGGUAGAGAGGUGCUUGCACCUCUUGAGAGCGGCGGACGGGUGAGUAAAGCCUAGGAAUCUGCCUGGUAGUGGGGGAUAACGCUCGGAAACGGACGCUAAUACCGCAUACGUCCUACGGGAGAAAGCAGGGGACCUUCGGGCCUUGCGCUAUCAGAUGAGCCUAGGUCGGAUUAGCUAGUUGGUGAGGUAAUGGCUCACCAAGGCGACGAUCCGUAACUGGUCUGAGAGGAUGAUCAGUCACACUGGAACUGAGACACGGUCCAGACUCCUACGGGAGGCAGCAGUGGGGAAUAUUGGACAAUGGGCGAAAGCCUGAUCCAGCCAUGCCGCGUGUGUGAAGAAGGUCUUCGGAUUGUAAAGCACUUUAAGUUGGGAGGAAGGGCAUUAACCUAAUACGUUAGUGUUUUGACGUUACCGACAGAAUAAGCACCGGCUAACUCUGUGCCAGCAGCCGCGGUAAUACAGAGGGUGCAAGCGUUAAUCGGAAUUACUGGGCGUAAAGCGCGCGUAGGUGGUUCGUUAAGUUGGAUGUGAAAUCCCCGGGCUCAACCUGGGAACUGCAUUCAAAACUGUCGAGCUAGAGUAUGGUAGA
rnacentral:rRNA from 1 species